UCAUUUCACACACUUCAUUUCUCUUCCAUUUUCACUUUUUAGAGAGAGAAUUUUAGAGUGAGAGAGAAGAAAUUUUAGAGAGAGAAAGAAGUAAGGAAGAAGGAGGAAAACAGGAGUUUUGCAAGCUUAUUCAAGGGAUUUCUAUAAGUCUUUUCCUCCACAUCUAAACGAUUAAUCGACUCAGUUUUGGUAAUGAAUUCUUUAGUAUUUUAAUCUACAUUUAUAGGUGCCAUUUUUAGUUAAUUAAUUUGGUGAAAUUAGAUAUUUAUUGAAACAGAUUUUUAUGCUUGUUUGGUGAUUUAUUUUUUUAUCAUCAUUCACAAUAAAUGUGUUAUAAUAACGAUUUGAGAACAUGUGGGAUUGACCCUUUGUUUUACCAUUGGUAAUGGCAAAGAGGGUUAUUCUAAGGAGUUCAAGCUUUAAAGAAUAUCUCGAUGAUAAAAUUCAGGUAAAAUGGGCCUUUGGCCUAAUAUGUUGCUGAACCCACACCAAGUUAUGGAUGUGAGGUAUGAUACAUGAUAGUGUGCCUUAUAACUAUGAUACAUGAAUUGCCACAAUAUUUAACAUUUAGUAUUGUUAAACAUAUUGGUUUGAUGUAUAAGUCUUUAUGGUGAUUGACAGUGUUUACAAUGUGAUAUUAGAUACCCCAAAUUUGGUGUUAAGGGUGUCAAUCUACAUCAAGGAAGAAUCCAGCUGGUCCUGACUCAAACAGAAAAGCAAGUUCUAGUUUUCUAAAUAAGAGCGCCAAAAAUAAAAAAAUAAUUUCAUCCUUAACUACUUUCCUAAUUGGGAUUAUUCCAAGUGGGUGACGUUCGUUCAAGCCAAAAGACUUAAGGUUCAAGUGAAAUUAAUGGGCUAGAAGAAUUGUAAAAAAACCCACACUUGAGGAAGAUGGUCCACAUGCAUGCACCAUGUGCAUACGUGUCGCAAGGCUUGCAUGCAUACGGGUUCAGGCUGGGCAACAACCUCGCCCACACAGCCCAAGAGGCCCCCGAGCCUUGCACAUGGAAUCAGUCGCGUGGAAGGGCCUGAAGCUAGCCCAGUGCAUGACCUGUGGCCCAACCUGUAGGCUCGCCAAGCGUGAUCCACACGGGCUGGCUGGCCCAACCCGUCCGGGUUGUCCAAAAUUGGCCCUACCCAUCUUUUUAAUUAAUUAAUAUUUUUACUUUAUUAUUUUAAGGCUUUGGGACCUAAUUUUUAAUUACCCAUUUUUUAAAAUUAAAAUCUCACAUGUCUAAAUUAAUUUUCCCAUGCGUUUUACAUGGAAAUCACAUGGGAUAAGUCUUAUCUUAUUUUAAUUAUUAUUUUAUUAUAAAUCUAUCUUUAGGAUUAUUUUAAUUAAUUAUCUUGUAUUUAGAUGGGAUAGAAUAAAUAUUUUAUUAUGGGAUUAGAUGACAUUUUAUCUAAAAUAUUAUUUUAUUCCAAAAGUUUGUACUCAUAUAGAUUGCUCGAGAAAAAAAGGUUAUAAAUAGGUCUUUGCCUUAUAAAUAGGAAUUUACCUAUAUGUUGUAAACAACACUAAUUGCAAUCAAUUUGAGAGAAUUCUUAAAAGUUUAGGCAUUUCUUCUUUUUAGUAUUUUUGCUAAAUUAGUUUCUUCAAGUUCUUCAGGAAGCAUGAGUCUUUAAAAGUUUUAUUGAGCCAAUGAGUGGGAAUUAACUUAUGGGUAAGUUAAUUGCAUUUUUUUUCCUUAUUUAUUUUUCCUACUCUUUGUUUUUUUGUUUUUGCAUUCCUUUUAGGAUUAUUGAUUCAAUUAGAGGGAGAUGUUGAUCUAGACAAUUAAAGUUUCAAUAUUGCAUAAUGUUGAGUGGGUUAUAAGAGUUAAUUUGAUCCUCCCUAUUAUGUCCUACGUUAGUUUAACCAUGGAAGUAGUGAACAUGAUGCAUGAAAAUGUGAUGAUUAGAAAUUGCAUGCGGGUUUGGCCCUUCACUUCACCUUAGUAAUGGUGAAGAGGGUUAUUCUAGUUGACCUUGAUUCAAGAGGAUGAUCCGAAGGUCAAAUCAGGGUAAGAUGUGGUCUUCAGGUCAGAUGCGUGAAAUGUGCCUUUAGACCUAAUAUGGACCUUCGGGCCGGAUACGUGAAAUGAGCCUUUGGCCUGGAUAAGUUGUGGAAUCCUUAUCGGGUUUGAAAAUGGUUGCAUUUAACAUGUAGUAUGCAUAUGAAAAGAAUAUGAAUUAUUGUGAGCAUGAAAUAAACAAGUAAAAAGAAUAGAAAAAUUUGUUCAACAGUUAUCUCUAAGGAGUUUUUAUUUCUCAUUCCUUCGAAAAAGUAUUGGUGAACCAUUCCUUGUGAUGAUCACCGAUCCCUCUAACGAGAGAGGAUAUAUGUUAGGUACAUGUAGGGUCAAAGUGGUGAAGUAUGAUCGAGGUCAUAAUUUAGAUGGGAAAAUGAAAUAAAAUGAGAAUGGCUAAAACUGGGUCGGUGAUUCACAGCGGUAGUUGGGGAUCCCUUCUGCCCUAAAUGGAUAUAUAUUGUAACAGCUUCGCAUGAAGGUUAGUAAAAGACUUAAUAAAACCUAGUUGCAGAUAAGAACGUUGAUUAUAAUUCGUAUGAUAAUUUUUCUGUUUAGUGAGUAUGUUGCUCGUAUUAGUUGAAUCUCUAGAAUGAUCUAUAUGAUGAUUCUUCUGUUUAUUGAGUAUGCUACUCAUACUAUUUGAAUCUCUAUGAUGAUUUGUACGAUGGUUCUUCUGCUUAUUGAGUAUGUUGCUCGUGUUAAUUGAAUCUCUAUGAUGAUUUGUAUGAUGGUUCUUUUGUAUGCUACUCAUACUAGUUGAAUCUCUAUGAUGAUUAGUACAAUGAUUCUUUUGUAUGCUACUCGUACUAGUUGAAUCUUUAUGAUGAUUUGUACGAUAAUUCUUCUAUUUACUAAGUAAGCUGCUCGUACUAGUUAAAUCUCUAUGAUAAUUUGUACGAUGGUUCUUCUGUUUACUGAGUAUGUUGUUCGUAUUAAUUGAAUCUCUAUGAUCAUUUAUAUAAUGGUUCUUCUAUUUACUGGGCAUGUUGCUUGUACUAGUUAAAUCUCUAUGAUGAUUUGUAUGAUUGUUCUUCUAUUUACAAAGUAUGCUGUUUGUUUGAUUUCUAUUGGAUAUGUAAUACCUUCGGUUUUGCCAAAUGUGAUAAAACAUGUCUGUAUAGAUGUUGAAUAAUGGUGCUAAUAACUUGGUUAUGUAACUGUUUCACCAGAUUUCCUUAAUAAAAACAAAAGAAUUUUAUGAAUGAUUAAAUGACUUCAUCCCACGAAAGUUCUCCAAGGUAAGAGGUAAUAAAAUAUUAUUCAAGUUUUUUACUUUUUAAAACUUAAUCGUGUAUUUUAAAUACUAUUUUUCUUACUAAAUUUAUAUGUAACUCAACCCUAAUCCCUGUCCCCCAGAUAUUCAAGAAGUUGAGGAUCGUCUCUCUCGAGUUAUCAUGAAGUUUGACUAGACCCAUUCAAGGAUCCUUGACAAUUCUUUAGGACAUAAUUUGAGUGUAAUAGUUAUUUGCACUCUGAUAUAAAAAUCCUAUACGAACUUUACUUUUUGUAUUUAAUACUUGGGAUUGCCAAUUAUGCCCCCUUAAUGUAAGUUCUUAAAACUUAGUUUAUUCUGUAAAGAAUUUCUAUUUUCUUCUUCAAUGUCAAAAAAAAUGUUUUUAGCACUCAGAACUACUUAGGUAAUUGGCCCCCUUUUACUCACUCGGUAUUAGGGAUGUUACACCGUGCAUAUAAAAAGAGGAACUUGGAACAAGGAAGAGACAAGCCUAGAGGAGAAGAAACUACAAAAAAGAAAGAGAAAUGUUGUGUUUGCGUGAAAAAAAAAAGAGAAGAAGAAAGAGAAGGAAGAGUGGAAAAAAGAGAGGUUGAAGAUAUAUAUAUAUAUAUAUCUAUGUAUAUAU
rnacentral:lncRNA from 1 species